AAAUUGAAGAGUUUGAUCAUGGCUCAGAUUGAACGCUGGCGGCAGGCCUAACACAUGCAAGUCGAACGGUAACAGGAAGCAGCUUGCUGCUUCGCUGACGAGUGGCGGACGGGUGAGUAAUGUCUGGGAAACUGCCUGAUGGAGGGGGAUAACUACUGGAAACGGUGGCUAAUACCGCAUAACGUCGCAAGACCAAAGAGGGGGACCUUCGGGCCUCUUGCCAUCAGAUGUGCCCAGAUGGGAUUAGCUAGUUGGUGAGGUAACGGCUCACCAAGGCGACGAUCCCUAGCUGGUCUGAGAGGAUGACCAGCCACACUGGAACUGAGACACGGUCCAGACUCCUACGGGAGGCAGCAGUGGGGAAUAUUGCACAAUGGGCGCAAGCCUGAUGCAGCCAUGCCGCGUGUAUGAAGAAGGCCUUCGGGUUGUAAAGUACUUUCAG
rnacentral:rRNA from 1 species